GCCAGGUUAAACAACUUGUACUAAAUUCAGUCAACAAUGGGGACAACAGAAAGCUUUCACUGGGGUAUGACAUAAUUAGAGCUGUGGUGGGGCAGUCUUUUCAAACUGUGUGAUACGACCCAUUAGUGGGCCACAAACUCAAUUUCGUGGGUCAUUAAUUAAACAAACAUCAUAAAAACCUUAAAUACAAAAAAAAGGGGGGGCCAGCCCGGUGUCCGAGUGGUUAAAUUCGCACUCCGCUUUGGUGGCUCAGGGUUUCGCCGGUUCGGAUCCUGGGCACCGACAUGGCACCGCUCAUCAGGCCAUGCUGAGGCGGCGUCCCACAUGCCACAACUAGAAGGACUCACAACUAAAAUAUACAACUAUGUACAGGGGGGCUUUGGGGAGAAAAAGGAAAAUAAAAUCUUAAAAAAAUAUCAGAGUGCAGUACUGCCUUGUGAGUUUUGUACGAGUGUGCUGGGUUGUGAAGUAAAAUACAUUGCUUAUUGUGAAUCAUGGCCAAAAAAUGUGAAAGCCCCAGCUUUCGGAAGAUUAAUCUGGCGGCAAAUCGUAGGCCGAAUUAGGAAUUCAGAGAAGGAGCCUUGAGGCUGGGGGUCUAGUUAGGAUGGUCUUGUCAUAGCCCUUUGAGUGGGCAGUGAGAAGGGAGUGAAAGGGAAGGAGAAGCCAUGAGAAGGGAAAGGGGGGGAGGGCAUGAGGGAUUCUGUGGGGUUAGAGUCUCAGGGGGUGGGGACUUGUCAGAUUGCGGGGGAUCAGGGAAUGGGAGCAACCAGUCACAGAUGACUAAAAGUCACUCCCCAGUCCUUGGGAAAUGCUGGCGCCCACAGCCAAGGGGGCAGUUGGGAGAAGGCACGAGUUUGAGAACUAGCACAAAAGACAGCUGGAAAGACACAAAAUGACCAUCAGGUACUGAUCAGCCAGGGUCCCAGCAGGAAACACACUCCACUGAGCUGGUUCCAGUGCAGAGAUCUGAAGGAAUGGAGGAUGUCCGGAGCUGUGGGCAGGCUGAAGGGAACCAGCCUGGGACGAUGGACAAAGUGCUUCAGACGCAGUAGGAAAAGAACAAGGGCUGUCCAGAAGAAUGUCAGUCUGAGAUAAAUCGCAUGUCAGGAAGAGAAAAUCCACUGUGUUAAGAACCAUGAAAUCUGUAGGCCCAGACAAAUUAUGUCCUAGGAUGUGGGUUGCAAACUUUUUAGUAGUAUAACUUUUUCAGACAAAUUUU
rnacentral:lncRNA from 1 species